rnacentral:rRNA from 1 species
UACGAAGGGGGCUAGCGUUGCUCGGAUUGACUGGGCGUAAAGGGCGCGUAGGCGGUUCGUACAGUCAGACGUGAAAUUCCUGGGCUCAACCUGGGGGCUGCGUUUGAUACGUGCGGACUUGAGUGCGGAAGAGGGUCGUGGAAUUCCCAGUGUAGUGGUGAAAUGCGUAGAUAUCGGGAGGAACACCAGUGGCGAAGGCGACUUCCUGGCCUGUUCUUGACGCUGAGGCGCGAAAGCUAGGGUAGCAAACGGG